rnacentral:rRNA from 1 species
GUCUGUUUGAAGAUAUAAAGAGUCUAGCCUGCCCAUUGACAAAUUUGAGUUAAAAGGCCGCGGUAUUUUAACCGUGCAAAGGUAGCAUAAUCAUUAGAUUUUUAAUUGAAAUCUUGUAUGAAGGGCUGAACAAAAGAAAUACUGUCUUUGUAUUAGAAUUAAAAUUUAACUUUUAAGUGAAAAGGCUUAAAUGAUUUAAAGGGACGAUAAGACCCUAUAAAACUUUACAUUUUAAUUAUAUUGAUUAAAAUUUAAAAAUAAAAAUUUGUUUAAUAGUUUGUUUUGUUGGGGUGGCAUGAAUAAAAUUUUUAUUAACUGUUUAUUAGUUAAAAUCAAUUAUUAGUGAAUAUAUGUAUAAGAUCCUUUAUUAAGAUUUGAAGAUUAAGUUACUUUAGGGAUAACAGCGUUAUUUUCUUUGAGAGUUCUUAUCGAAAAGAAAUUUACGACCUCGAUGUUGAAUUAAAAUAUCUAUAUAAUGUAGAGGUUAUAUAAGGAGGUCUGUUCGACCUUUAAAAUUUUACAUGAUUUGAGUUCAAACCGGUGUGAG